AAACUAUUAAUUUCUAUAAGCUACGCCUUGCUGUAGACACAGAAGGAAAUAUAAUCUAAUGGAUUUACUUUCAUAUCGCGAUAGUUUGAAAAUAACUUCUCACUCAAUUUUGUGUUAGACUUGCAAGUACUCGCAUCAUUAGUUUAUGCAGACGAAAAAACAAGAUGUCGAAAGUAAUUCUAUUAUUAUCAAUUAUUUUAUUCGUCGGUCUUUAUACUCAUGCAGUUGAAGGAUGCAGAGGCCAAAGUUGCAACCCUCUAAAACAGCUACAUUGUUGCCCGCGUUAUACAUGCACCGUAGCUAUCUUUGACGGCAUAUGCAGACCUGAUUUUGAAGCUAUUUUAGUGCCAACUUAUCCAUCAAUCGAAAAGAUUCGGAAUAUUACUGGAGUAGAGCCGUACUGAAUGCUACAAAAAGUAUACUAUUGAAACGAAAAGAUUUUUGGUCUGUAUCUACAUCUGUACGUCAAAAUAAUUAAUAAAUAGAGACUUCGUAAACCUACCUAAUUUUAUUUUAUUUUUUA